UUGGAGGGCAAGUCUGGUGCCAGCAGCCGCGGUAAUUCCAGCUCCAAUAGCGUAUAUUAAAGUUGUUGCAGUUAAAAAGCUCGUAGUUGAAUUUCGGGAUCAAUUUAUCGGUCGUGCCAAUGGUAUGAACUGGUACAAUUGGUUUCUCCCUUCUGACGAAGCAUGAUGUCAUUAAUUUGGUGUCGUGGGGAAUCAGGUCUGUUACUUUGAAAAAAUUAGAGUGUUUAAAGCAAGCAUUAGCUUGAAUACAUUAGCAUGGAAUAAUGAAAUAGGACGUUUGAUCCUAUUUCGUUGGUUUCUAGGAUCGACGUAAUGAUUAAUAGGGAUAGUUGGGGGCAUUAGUAUUCAAUUGUCAGAGGUGAAAUUCUUGGAUUUAUUGAAGACUAACUACUGCGAAAGCAUUUGCCAAGGAUGUUUUCAUUAAUCAAGAACGAAAGUUAGGGGAUCGAAGACGAUCAGAUACCGUCGUAGUCUUAACCAUAAACUAUGCCGACUAGGGAUCGGAUGAUGUUAAUUUUUUAAUGACUCAUUCGGCGCCUUACGGGAAAC
rnacentral:rRNA from 1 species